CCUACGGGAGGCAGCAGUGGGGAAUAUUGCACAAUGGAGGAAACCCUGAUGCAGCGACGCCGCGUGAAGGAUGAAGUCUUUCUGUAUGUAAACUUCUAUCAGCAGGGAAGAAAAUGACGGUACCUGACUCAGAAUCCCCGGCUAACUACGUGCCAGCAGCCGCGGUAAUACGUAGGGGGCAAGCGUUAUCCGGAUUUACUGGGUGUAAAGGGAGCGUAGACGGUAUGGUAAGUCUGAUGUGAAAACCCGGGGCUCAACCCCGGGACUGCAUUGGAAACUGCCGAACUAGAGUGUAGGAGAGGCAAGUGGAAUUCCUAGUGUAGCGGUGAAAUGCGUAGAUAUUAGGAGGAACACCAGUGGCGAAGGCGGCUUGCUGGACGAUGACUGACGUUGAGGCUCGAAAGCGUGGGGAGCAAACAGGAUUAGAUACCCGGGUAGUC
rnacentral:rRNA from 1 species